CCUACGUGUGGCUGCAGUGGGGAAUAUUGGACAAUGGGCGAAAGCCUGAUCCAGCCAUGCCGCGUGUGUGAAGAAGGCCUUCGGGUUGUAAAGCACUUUCAGUGGGGAAGAAAGCCUUGGGGCUAAUACCCUCGAGGAAGGACAUCACCCACAGAAGAAGCACCGGCUAACUCCGUGCCAGCAGCCACGGUAAUACGGAGGGUGCGAGCGUUAAUCGGAAUUACUGGGCGUAAAGCGCGCGUAGGCGGUCUGAUAAGCCGGUUGUGAAAGCCCCGGGCUCAACCUGGGAACGGCAUCCGGAACUGUCAGGCUAGAGUGCAGGAGAGGAAGGUAGAAUUCCCGGUGUAGCGGUGAAAUGCGUAGAGAUCGGGAGGAAUACCAGUGGCGAAGGCGGCCUUCUGGACUGACACUGACGCUGAGGUGCGAAAGCGUGGGUAGCAAACAGGAUUAGAUACCCCUGUAGUC
rnacentral:rRNA from 1 species